GCAACCAGCCAUUAAAGUGACAAGAGAUCAGAUCACCUUUCUUAUGAACCAAGGCAACACAGUUAAGCAAAUGGCCAAAAUUCUUGGGUGUUCCUCUUCAUUUUUGUACAAGACAACAAAGACUCUUGGUGUAUCUGUAAGAACCAGAUUCUCUACAUUAGAAAAUGCAGAACUCGAGGCCCAUGUCAGAAGACUUCAGGCUCAAUAUCCAAACUCGGGAUAUGAGAUGAUGAGGGCCUUGUUAAAAGCCGAUGGAUUUUUUGUUCAACGAUGGAAGGUUAGAGAGAUGUUAGCUCUGGUUAACCCAACAGCUACAGCCCGAAGGUGGAGUUGUGCAGUGGCAAGGCGGGUGUAUUAUACACCUUACCCUAACAGUCUGUGGCAUAUAGACGGCAAUAUGCGCCUCAUAAGAUGGGGAUUUGUGGUCCAUGGUGCCAUCGAUGGAAAGUCCCGGCUCAUUACAUAUUUGAAUUGCAGCAGUGACAAU